rnacentral:rRNA from 1 species
GUGGGGAAUCUUAGACAAUGGGCGCAAGCCUGAUCUAGCCAUGCCGCGUGAGUGAUGAAGGCCCUAGGGUUGUAAAGCUCUUUCAGCUGGGAAGAUAAUGACGGUACCAGCAGAAGAAGCCCCGGCUAACUCCGUGCCAGCAGCCGCGGUAAUACGGAGGGGGCUAGCGUUGUUCGGAAUUACUGGGCGUAAAGCGCGCGUAGGCGGACUGAAAAGUUGGGGGUGAAAUCCCGGGGCUCAACCUCGGAACUGCCUUCAAAACUAUCAGUCUGGAGUUCGAGAGAGGUGAGUGGAAUUCCGAGUGUAGAGGUGAAAUUCGUAGAUAUUCGGAGGAACACCAGUGGCGAAGGCGGCUCACUGGCUCGAUACUGACGCUGAGGUGCGAAAGCGUGGGGAGCAAACAGGAUUAGAUACCCCGGUAGUCC